AACGAGCCAAUAGGAGCUCAGGCAUGAGGCAGAGGGCUCACCUGUGGAGGAGAUGGGGGGCAGCUGAUCUGGGACUGUGGGAUCCGGAGAUGUCAUUAUUCCCCUUUAUUCGGCUUUGAAUCCCUUUGGCAGGUGAUCUGGGGAUGCAGCCUGACUCCAGAGAGAAUUCAGCAGCCUGACUCCAGAGAGAAUUGCCCUCUACUUCUCACUGACGGGGUUAAUUCAGUGCAAAUGGUCAAACAAGGGCCCUCAUGUGAACCUGUGCAGAAGAGCGAGGGAGUCUAAGGAGCAUCCCUAUGCCUUUCAUGAACUACCUGCAUCACCAGAGCCUUCACAGGAGUAGAAAAGAGAGGCCACUGGCAGGCA